GAUGAACGCUGGCGGCGUGCCUAAUACAUGCAAGUCGAGCGAACGGACGAGAAGCUUGCUUCUCUGAUGUUAGCGGCGGACGGGUGAGUAACACGUGGAUAACCUACCUAUAAGACUGGGAUAACUUUGGGAAACCGGAGCUAAUACCGGAUAAUAUUUUGAACCGCAUGGUUCAAAAGUGAAAGACGGUCUUGCUGUCACUUAUAGAUGGAUCCGCGCUGCAUUAGCUAGUUGGUAAGGUAACGGCUUACCAAGGCAACGAUGCAUAGCCGACCUGAGAGGGUGAUCGGCCACACUGGAACUGAGACACGGUCCAGACUCCUACGAGAGGCAGCAGUAGGGAAUCUUCCGCAAUGGGCGAAAGCCUGACGGAGCAACGCCGCGUGAGUGAUGAAGGUCUUCGGAUCGUAAAACUCUGUUAUUAGGGAAGAACAUAUGUGUAAGUAACUGUGCACAUCUUGACGGUACCUAAUCAGAAAGCCACGGCUAACUACGUG
rnacentral:rRNA from 1 species